GACGAACGCUGGCGGCGUGCCUAAUACAUGCAAGUGGGACGCAAGAGAACACACUGUGCUUGCACACCGUGUUUUCUUGAGUCGCGAACGGGUGAGUAACGCGUAGGUAACCUGCCUAUUAGCGGGGGAUAACUAUUGGAAACGAUAGCUAAUACCGCAUAAUAUUAAUUAUUGCAUGAUAAUUGAUUGAAAGAUGCAAGCGCAUCACUAGUAGAUGGACCUGCGUUGUAUUAGCUAGUUGGUAAGGUAAGAGCUUACCAAGGCGACGAUACAUAGCCGACCUGAGAGGGUGAUCGGCCACACUGGGACUGAGACACGGCCCAGACUCCUACGGGAGGCAGCAGUAGGGAAUCUUCGGCAAUGGACGAAAGUCUGACCGAGCAACGCCGCGUGAGUGAAGAAGGUUUUCGGAUCGUAAAGCUCUGUUGUAAGUCAA
rnacentral:rRNA from 1 species